GCCAGCAGCCGCGGUAAUACGGAGGGUGCGAGCGUUGUUCGGAAUUAUUGGGCGUAAAGAGCGUGUAGGCGGCCUGACAAGUCAGAUGUGAAAGCCCUGGGCUCAACCCAGGAAGUGCAUUUGAAACUGUCGGGCUUGAGUACGGGAGGGGGAAGCGGAAUUCCUGGUGUAGAGGUGAAAUCCGUAGAUAUUAGGAGGAACACCGGUGGCGAAGGCGGCUACCUGGACCGAUAUUGACGCUGAGACGCGAAAGCGUGGGGAGCAAACAGGAUUAGAUACCCUGGUAGUCCACGCCGUAAACGUUGGGCACUAGGUGUUGCGGGUA
rnacentral:rRNA from 1 species